rnacentral:rRNA from 1 species
AUAGCGUAUAUUAAAGUUGUUGCAGUUAAAAAGCUCGUAGUUGGAUUUCUGGGAGGGUGCCAAUGUCCGCUUGUUGCGUGUGCAGCGGCGCCCUUCCAUCCUUCUGUUAACGUUUCUUGGUAUUCAUUUACUGGUUGCGGGCUCAGAUAUUUUACCUUGAGAAAAUUAGAGUGUUUAAGGCAGGCUUGUGCCCGAAUACAUUAGCAUGGAAUAAUAGAAUAGGACUUUGGUCUCCUUUGUUGGUUUGAGGGACUAGAGUAAUGAUUAAUAGGGACAGUUGGGGGCAUUAGUAUUUAAUUGUCAGAGGUGAAAUUCUCGGAUUUAUUGAAGACGAACUACUG